CCUCGUGGCUCAGAUGGUAAAGAAUCUGCCUGCAAUGCAGGAGACCCAGGUUCGAUCCCUGGGACGAGAA
rnacentral:tRNA from 1 species